rnacentral:rRNA from 1 species
UACGAAGGGGGCUAGCGUUGCUCGGAAUCACUGGGCGUAAAGGGUGCGUAGGCGGGUCUUUAAGUCAGGGGUGAAAUCCUGGAGCUCAACUCCAGAAUUGCCUUUGAUACUGAAGAUCUUGAGUUCGGGAGAGGUGAGUGGAACUGCGAGUGUAGAGGUGAAAUUCGUAGAUAUUCGCAAGAACACCAGUGGCGAAGGCGGCUCACUGGCCCGAUACUGACGCUGAGGCACGAAAGCGUGGGGAGCAAACAGG